ACAUACUCAUGCAUUUUUAUUUUUAAAAAUUAAACUCCUCAUAGUGACCCAUGUCAGAGCAAACUGUGGCCUUGACCCACUGUCUGGCCUCUGCCCAUAGGCUGCAGGCAUUGAAGUGAGUUACACAGUG
ensembl:snoRNA small nucleolar RNA SNORA42/SNORA80 family